CAAGUACUCCCUCCGUCCGGAAAUACUUGUCAUUAAAAUGAAUAAAAGGAGAUGUAUCUAGACGUAUUUUAGUUCUAGAUACAUCCCUUUUUAUCCAUUUUGAUGACAAGUAUUUUCGGACGGAGGGAGUAGUAC
rnacentral:pre_miRNA from 1 species